UACGUAGGGGGCCAGCGUUGCUCGGAAUUACUGGGCGUAAAGGGCUCGUAGGCGGCCAACUAAGUCGGAUGUGAAAUCCCCAGGCUUAACCUGGGAACUGCAUCCGAUACUGGAUGGCUUGAAUCCGGGAGAGGGAUGCAGAAUUCCAGGUGUAGCGGUGAAAUGCGUAGAUAUCUGGAGGAAUACCGGUGGCGAAGGCGGCAUCCUGGACCGGCAUUGACGCUGAUGAGCGAAAGCUAGGGGAGCAAACGGG
rnacentral:rRNA from 1 species